rnacentral:rRNA from 1 species
GGGUAACGGCCCACCAAGGCGACGAUCCAUAGCCGGCCUGAGAGGGUGAACGGCCACAUUGGGACUGAGACACGGCCCAAACUCCUACGGGAGGCAGCAGUGGGGAAUAUUGCACAAUGGGGGAAACCCUGAUGCAGCGACGCCGCGUGAGCGAAGAAGUAUUUCGGUAUGUAAAGCUCUAUCAGCAGGGAAGAAACUGACGGUACCUGACUAAGAAGCACCGGCUAAAUAC